rnacentral:rRNA from 1 species
UACAGAGGUGGCAAGCGUUGUUCGGAAUUACUGGGCGUAAAGGGCGCGUAGGCGGCCAUCUAAGUCAGACGUGAAAUCCCCCGGCUUAACCUGGGAACUGCGUCUGAUACUGGACGGCUUGAGUAUGGGAGAGGGAUGUAGAAUUCCAGGUGUAGCGGUGAAAUGCGUAGAUAUCUGGAGGAAUACCGGUGGCGAAGGCGGCAUCCUGGGACCAUUACUGACGCUGAGGCGCGAAAAGCUAGGGGGAGCAAACGGGG